rnacentral:rRNA from 2 species
GCAGCGGGUCCUUUCGCGGAAGCCCGGCGAGCGGCGGACGGGUUGAGUUAAUGCCUAGGAAUCUUGCCUUGGUAGUGGGGGACUAACUUCGGGGAAACUUCGAGCUUAAUACCGCAUACGUCCUUACGGGAGAAAAGCGGGGGAUCUUUCGGACCUCGCGCUACCAGAUGAGCCUAGGUCGGAUUAGCUAGUUGGUGAGGUAAAGGCUCACCAAGGCGACGAUCCGUAGCUGGUCUGAGAGGAUGAUCAGCCACACUGGAACUGAGACACGGUCCAGACUCCUACGGGAGGCAGCAGUGGGGAAUAUUGGACAAUGGGCGAAAGCCUGAUCCAGCCAUGCCGCGUGUGUGAAGAAGGUCUUCGGAUUGUAAAGCACUUUAAGUUGGGAGGAAGGGCAGUAAGCUAAUACCUUGCUGUUUUGACGUUACCGACAGAAUAAGCACCGGCUAACUUCGUGCCAGCAGCCGCGGUUA